rnacentral:rRNA from 1 species
GAUGAACGCUGGCGGCGUGCCUAAUACAUGCAAGUAGAACGCUGAAGGAGGAGCUUGCUCUUCUGGAUGAGUUGCGAACGGGUGAGUAACGCGUAGGUAACCUGCCUGGUAGCGGGGGAUAACUAUUGGAAACGAUAGCUAAUACCGCAUGACAACAGUUAUUGCAUGAUAACUGUUUAAAAGGGGCAACUGCUCCACUACCAGAUGGACCUGCGUUGUAUUAGCUAGUUGGUGAGGUAAAGGCUCACCAAGGCGACGAUACAUAGCCGACCUGAGAGGGUGAUCGGCCACACUGGGACGGAGACACGGCCCAGACUCCUACGGGAGGCAGCAGUAGGGAAUCUUCGGCAAUGGACGGAAGUCUGACCGAGCAACGCCGCGUGAGUGAAGAAGGUUUUCGGAUCGUAAAGCUCUGUUGUAAGAGAAGAACGAGUGUGAGAGUGGAAAGUUCACACUGUGACGGUAUCUUACCAGAAAGGGACGGCUAACUACGUG